CCUACGGGUGGCAGCAGUGAGGAAUAUUGGUCAAUGGGCGGAAGCCUGAACCAGCCAAGUCGCGUGAGGGAUUAAGGCCCUGCGGGUCGUAAACCUCUUUUGCCGGGGAGCAGAGUUCCGGACGUGUCCGGGCCGGGAGAGUACCCGGAGAAAAAGCCUCGGCUAACUCCGGGCCAGCAGCCGCGGUAAUACGGAGGAUGCGAGCGUUAUCCGGAUUUAUUGGGUUUAAGGGGUGCGUAGGCGCGCAUUUAAGCCGGCGGUCAAAUGUCGGGGCUCAACCCCGGCCUGCCGUCGGAACUGGGGGCCUGGAGUGGGCGAGAAGUAGGCGGAAUGCGUGGUGUAGCGGUGAAAUGCGUAGAUAUCACGCAGAACCCCGAUUGCGAAGGCAGCAUACCGGGGCCCGACUGACGCUGAGGCACGAAAGUGCGGGUAUCGAACAGGAUUAGAUACCCCGGUAGUC
rnacentral:rRNA from 1 species